rnacentral:misc_RNA from 1 species
UCGUAACAAGGUUUCCGUAGGUGAACCUGCGGAAGGAUCAUUACAGUAUUCUAUCCAAGCUGAAAUGUGUCAUUGAGUCAUGCUGUCUUUGUAUGCGCUGCUGAAAUAUUGCGUGCGCGACAGGGCGUUUGGCUUGGGGCCAUUUUACUCCAAAGGCUUGGAAAACCUCUUCACACUUUGUUUUUUUAUUAGAGACAAAUUUGCUUUGGCUGGUUGUGGUGUAAAAGCUGCUGUGCCAGCCAAAGAUUUACAAAACUCAUUUUGUUGGUAUUCCCUCGGGAUUACUUAACGUGAUUUAUGAAACAGUCAUUGAACUUUAAAAGAGAUAGCUUUGCUUCUUCUAUGAAGUGCUGGUAUCUUUUUACAAAAAUUCAAAACUUUCAACAACGGAUCUCUUGGUUCUCGCAUCGAUGAAGAACGCAGCGAAAUGCGAUAAGUAAUGUGAAUUGCAGAUUUUCGUGAAUCAUUGAAUCUUUGAACGCACAUUGCGCCCUCUGGUAUUCCGGAGGGCAUGCCUGUUUGAGCGUCAUUUCCUUCUCAAACCCCCAAGGUUUGGUGAUGAGCGCUUACUCCUUUCUGAGGAGUUCGCUUGAAAUGCAUUGGCAUGAGCUCAUGUGAUAAGCAGUAAUUGUUUUAUUUCCAAUGUAUUAGGUUUUAAUCCAUCGUUGGGCGACAGUUGCUGGUUGUUUCGUGGUUUUGGCUUUGCCUAACAAACUUUAACCCUAAAGUUUGACCUCAAAUCAGGUAGGAUUACCCGCUGAACUUAAGCAUAUCA